AUGUGUUACGUUCUGCCUAACUGCACUUCUGAUUCCCUCCGGGAGACCUAUGAACAUCAGUUGUGGUCUCCGCGGCGCCCGUGCGCGGUCGGCAGCUUCUUCUGCUGGACGAUGAGUCGCGCCGGGAGCUGGCGGCCGGUGCCAGAGCCUCCGCAGCUGCGGCACCGCUUGCGUCCGGAGCCGGAGCACGUCCCGCAGCCGACGUCGCCGUCGGACCAACGGCUGCAGAGGCACUCCUCCCGGCCGGUGCCGCGGCACGUAGAGCAACGUCCCACCUGGACGCCGCCGGCAGCCCGUCGCCCGUCGUCCGGUUCGCCGUCGCCACGCCCGCCAGCAUCCCGAGCCCCGCCGCCGCGAUCACCAUGGGCGCCACCAUCACCAAUCCAAGAACCUUUCUUGCCGUAUCGUGCUGGUAGGAGUGGAAGAAAAGAUUUGGAUGGGUGCCUGUGA
rnacentral:rRNA from 1 species